rnacentral:rRNA from 1 species
CGGACGGGUGAGUAACGCGUGAGGAUCUGCCCAUAGGACGGGGAUAACAGUUGGAAACGACUGCUAAUACCGGAUGAGCCGAGAGGUAAAACAUUUAUGGCCUAUGGAGGAACUCGCGGCUGAUUAGCUAGUUGGUGGGGUAAAGGCCUACCAAGGCGACGAUCAGUAGCUGGUCUGAGAGGAUGAUCAGCCACACUGGGACUGAGACACGGCCCAGACUCCUACGGGAGGCAGCAGUGGGGAAUUUUCCGCAAUGGGGGCAACCCUGACGGAGCAACGCCGCGUGAGGGAAGAAUGUUUGUGGACAGUAAACCUCUUUUAAUAGGGAAGAAUUUUGACGGUACCUAUUGAAUAAGCAUCGGCUAACUCCGUGCCAGCAGCCGCGGUAAUACGGAGGAUGCAAGCGUUAUCCGGAAUUAUUGGGCGUAAAGCGUCCGCAGGUGGUUAGUCAAGUCAGCUGUUAAAUACUCAGGCUUAACUUGGGGAUUGCGGUUGAAACUGAUUGACUAGAGUACGGUAGGGGUAGAGGGAAUUCCUAGUGUAGCGGUGAAAUGCGUAGAUAUUAGGAAGAACACCAGUGGCGAAGGCGCUCUACUGGGCCUGUACUGACACUGAGGGACGAAAGCUAGGGGAGCGAAUGGGAUUAGAUACCCCUGUAGUC